rnacentral:rRNA from 1 species
CUACCUAGUUCUACGGAACAACACAGGGAAACUUGUGCUAAUACCGUAUACGCCCUACGGGGGAAAGAUUUAUCGGAAUUAGAUGAGCCCGCGUAAGAUUAGCUAGUUGGUGGGGUAAUGGCCUACCAAGGCGACGAUCUUUAGCUGGUCUGAGAGGAUGAUCAGCCACACUGGGACUGAGACACGGCCCAGACUCCUACGGGAGGCAGCAGUGGGGAAUAUUGGACAAUGGGCGCAAGCCUGAUCCAGCCAUGCCGCGUGAGUGAUGAAGGCCUUAGGGUUGUAAAGCUCUUUCAGUGGGGAAGAUAAUGACGGUACCCACAGAAGAAGCCCCGGCUAACUUCGUGCCAGCAGCCGCGGUAAUACGAAGGGGGCUAGCGUUGUUCGGAUUUACUGGGCGUAAAGCGCACGUAGGCGGUUUGUUAAGUCAGGGGUGAAAUCCCGGAGCUCAACUCCGGAACUGCCUUUGAUACUGGCAAGCUAGAGUCCGGAAGAGGUAAGUGGAACUCCUAGU